CCUACGGGAGGCAGCAGUGGGGAAUUUUGGACAAUGGGGGCAACCCUGAUCCAGCAAUGCCGCGUGAGUGAAGAAGGCCCUCGGGUUGUAAAGCUCUUUUGUCAGGGAAGAAACGGUCUACUCUAAUACAGUGGGCUAAUGACGGUACCUGAAGAAUAAGCACCGGCUAACUACGUGCCAGCAGCCGCGGUAAUACGUAGGGUGCAAGCGUUAAUCGGAAUUACUGGGCGUAAAGCGUGCGCAGGCGGUUUUAUAAGACAGAGGUGAAAUCCCCGGGCUCAACCUGGGAACUGCCUUUGUGACUGUAAGGCUAGAGUGUGUCAGAGGGGGGUAGAAUUCCACGUGUAGCAGUGAAAUGCGUAGAUAUGUGGAGGAAUACCGAUGGCGAAGGCAGCCCCCUGGGAUAACACUGACGCUCAUGCACGAAAGCGUGGGGAGCAAACAGGAUUAGAUACCCUGGUAGUCCACGCCCUAAACGAUGUCUACUAGUUGUCGGGACUUAAUUGUCUUGGUAACGCAGCUAACGCGUGAAGUAGACCGCCUGGGGAGUACGGUCGCAAGAUUAAAACUCAAAGGAAUUGAACGGCGUGAGAGUGCGACGACGACGACGAGGGAGAGG
rnacentral:rRNA from 1 species